AUUGAACGCUGGCGGAAUGCUUUACACAUGCAAGUCGAACGGCAGCACGGGUGCUUGCACCUGGUGGCGAGUGGCGAACGGGUGAGUAACAUAUCGGAACGUACCCAGUAAUGGGGGAUAACUAAGCGAAAGCUUAGCUAAUACCGCAUACGCCCUGAGGGGGAAAGCGGGGGAUCGAAAGACCUCGCGUUAUUGGAGCGGCCGAUAUCUGAUUAGCUAGUUGGUGGGGUAAAGGCCCACCAAGGCGACGAUCAGUAGCUGGUCUGAGAGGAUGGUCAGCCACACUGGAACUGGGACACGGUCCAGACUCCUACGGGAGGCAGCAGUGGGGAAUUUUGGACAAUGGGGGCAACCCUGAUCCAGCCAUUCCGCGUGAGUGAAGAAGGCCUUCGGGUUGUAAAGCUCUUUCGGCAGGGAAGAAACGCUCUGGGUUAAUAACCUGGGGUAAUGACGGUACCUGAAGAAGAAGCACCGGCUAACUACGUGCCAGCAGCCGCCGUAACAC
rnacentral:rRNA from 1 species